ACUGCCUGUGCUUCUUUUGAGGUCCGAAGUCCAGCAGUUUUAGGUUUUCAUUUCCUACAUUAUCUUUGCAUUUUUCUGUUCAGUUUCUGAUCAGUAGAGAUGAAUUAAGUAUUUCUAUCAUUGCAAGUAAAGGAAAUUGG
rnacentral:sRNA from 1 species